rnacentral:lncRNA from 1 species
UGGACCCCUAUGCUGCAGCAAAAGUCCGAACCUUUUGGGCAAUGAUGACAGCAUCCUUACUCAUUCCGGCGAUAGCCUUCAAAUAAACUAUUACAACUCAUGGUCAUCUCAUCUUAUAGGGGCUAGAUUCGUGAUUUUCUGUGGAAAUUGUCUUCGAUAAAUCCUAACCAUUGAUGUCUCUUUAGCAAGCAUAUCUGAUUGGUGGAACAGCAUGCUCAAGUCGAAAAACUGUUCGAUUGCAGUAUUUCUUGAUGUUUGUAAGUAUAUUUUGAUUUAUUUGCCAACAAUUUGUCAGAGUAUUACUUUUAUUUUACUUUUAUUGCUUAAGGCUGUGAUUUCUUGAAUCAGAUUAACUUUUUGGUCUGUUAUUGACGUUCAACAAGCAUCAAUAGUGCUGGACACCAAUUUUUAGACUAGUAUACUAGAUUAAAUUCUAAGCAAACUUUUUUUUGGUUCCGUUAGCCUUGGUGAUUCAAUUGGUUGUCCACCUGCUUUAAUUUGUUGUUGCACGCACCACGUUUGUAGAAUGCCCCAACAUCUAUUUGAUGUUGGCAUUAUGGGGUUAUGUAUGCUAUUUUUUACCUUUGUGACUGAGACAC